GGCUACGUAGCUCAGUUGGUUAGAGCACAUCACUCAUAAUGAUGGGGUCACAGGUUCGAAUCCCGU
rnacentral:tRNA from 1 species